rnacentral:lncRNA from 1 species
GACACCUCGAGUUAAUUAGUGAAGAAAUUCAUCAUGACUCGGUCGAUCAGCUGUGUAGUGAAAAUUAGUGGAGUUCCAUCGAUCUUUCGUCCGUGCAUGUCCCUUUCCAUAUAUUGGCCCAUCGAUUUUUAGUUGUUUUUUUACCGUAUCAUGGAUCGAUCUCGAUCGAUCAAGCAUGGCCACUUGUUUUUUCACUCGUUUAUUUAGUCAAGUGCAUGGAUGUUUUUUUUACUGCGUAGUUAAUAGUAUUAAUAACGUUCAUGCAUGGAUUUUUUUUAUUAUAAGGCACACAUGUAGUUAGAGAUUAACUUUCACAAUCAAUUUGAUCAAAAAAGUGUGCCAUAAAAAUUAGAUAACUGAAUUUUUAUUCUGAAGAAUUUUUUAUAGUGGAUUACUCAUAUAUCCGUUAAUCUUCUAACUGAUGGCCAAAGUUGAAGCUAGAAUUUAUAGUAGGUCUUAUAAUUUGAAAAGAUGGGAGUGCUCAAAAUAUAUAUCAUAAUCUGCAAGAAGCUGACUAUUGAUGUCAGGAUCCGAAUCAUCGAAACAUAUAUCAGUGGCCAAAUUAGGACAUAGUACUCUGAAGAGCCGAUUGGACUAGAGUAACAAUUAAGUUGCAAAAGAAUUACUAAUUGAAUACUACCCCGAUACAAAUUUAUAUUUCCACUGCGUAACU